ensembl:lncRNA
UUUUUUACUAAAAAAAAAAAAAGGAAUAGUCUAUGAUAGACAAGAAACUGUAGGUAAAAUAUAGUCAAGACCAUUGGAAUACUGAACAUUUGCUCCCAGAAAUACCUGUGUGAUAUGGAAGCUCAAAAGAUAACUUUUCAGUCAGGUGAGGAUGUGAAUUCAUCAUCUUUUGGAAACUUUAAAAUUUAGAUUUAAGUUGUUUGGCAGAAACUCUCUAUAUUUUGUGGCUAUUAUUAUUAUUAUUUUUUAUUAUUAUUAUUUUUACAGCUAUAAAUUAUUAUCAUUAUUAUUGAUAUGCUAAUCAAACUAAAAUGAAAAUAAUUCCUGAUGUAUAAAUACUUUUCACACUGUCAGACGACGAUUAUGCAGUAAUGGAUUCAGAGAUUGGAUCACUCCUCGAUUAUAUUGAUUGUGUACAGUAAGAAGUAUUUUUGUGAAACAGCAAGUAACACUUUGGAUUAAACGUGAAUGUUUGAUGUAGAAAGACUGAAAUAGUCCCCUAAAACUUACUCCAAGAAUCUGUUUUAUUUACAACUUCCACAACAUAAGUCUCUUAAUCGUGUACAAAUUUAAGUAGAACAAGAAAAUGGGUUUUGCUUACAACGCCUUGUUUUACUAUGCAUAAGCAUAACCUCAUCUGCAUAUAAUUUCCAUGAAUAUUCCCAUCCACAUCACACCAUGUUUAACACCGUCAAAGGUUCAGGACAUUAAGGAAAUAUACGGACUAUAAAUGUCAUUUGUGCCAUACAUAAUUUUUAUUGCUAAAUAUCAUCCAAUAUCCUUUUUAUGUUUUAGAAUAAAUAUAUCAAAAUAUCCAUAAAAACAAAACUGUUUAAAAUUGGAGUUGAUCUAAUUCUUUCCCGCUGGCCAAAUAGUACUUCAAUUGUUUUAAACAAUUAAAAAUCAAAUUAAAUUUAUGCAGUUUUUGCUGAUAAGGUGAACAUCUUUUAGCUAUUUUUAGUUGAUACACUAAAGAUGAAUAAUUGUGCACCUAAAGCACUCCUCGCUGUCAUUAAAACAUAGCAUGCCAAAGGAAAAGUGAUCAAGCGCAUCCACUAUAAAUAUGUCUAAAUUCAUAUCAUUUUUGUUUAACUUCUGCGUAAUGACUUUAUGUAAUUUUAGUGCUUUAUGUAAUUCCAUUCAUGGGAGUGGAAUAUUUAAUGUAAAUGUGUAAUUAUCGAAAAAAAAUAAAAAUAAUAAUAAUUGUUGUUUACUUCAUUACAUUUCUCACUCCAGGAAAAACAGGACGUAGGCCUAUGCAUUAUCAGAUUAAGUGUUAUCGGAUUACUUGCCAUGGUAACCAGAGGCCUGUUUUGCCUUUUUGGGGUGUUAGGACAGUAUUAAUUGCACUGCCCCUUAUUAUGCGUCACAUUAUCAUGUGUGAGUAAUAUUACGUUAUAAAAAUCUGAAAAGUCUAUUUCCAGAGUUUAUGCUAGUCACUGUAGUAAGACAGAAAUAAAGAGAAAGUAAAAGUGACAUCAUGUUUCAUAAGUCAGCCUUUAAAGUCAAACCAUUUCAACUGCUAAGACAUUUUGAUUUAUGUAUUUACAGUGUACCUGCGUAGUUUGGGAUUAAAUUUAUCAGACGUAUAAAAAUGUUUGAUUGACUGCUAACACCUAUUUUGUUGAGCAUGUUGAGGGGGUAAAAUGGUUUCUUUUCUCAGAUGUGCCUCAUGAUAAAACAUCAUCAGUUUCUGGCUUUCUAAAGGUCAGGACACACCAAGCCAAUGUCAGGCCGACGGCGACAGUUGGGCUAGUUUGUCUGGUGUGUUCCACUCGUCGUCUCACGUCGGCGGCAGUUUGCCCGAUUCAACAUGUUGAAUGUUCAAGACCUGUAAAGUUUAAAAUGUUCAAAUGACACAUAAAAGCUUAAUUCGUCUUCGGAACACAAUUUAAGAUAUUUUGGAUGAAAACUUGAGGCUUGUGACUGUCCCAUAGACUGCUAAGUAAAUAACAGUGUCAAGGUCCAGAAAAGUAUGAAAGACAUCGUCAGAAUACUCCAUCUGCCAUCAGUGAUUUAACUGUAACAUUAUGAAGCGACGAGAAUACUUUUCAUGUGUAAAGAAAACAAAAAUAAUGACUUUAUUUAACAAUUUGUCUCCUCUGUGUCUCUCCACAUCACCGUAGCGCCAUUAUGAAGAAUAUCCGCUGAACCCAAAUUGCACACGUUCUUCUGUGUCAGCCACGACACAAGGAUACGUUUUCUAUGUGUAUUUAUGCUUUGAUUUGAAAAAAACUGGACCUCCAUGCAGCGGAUUUCAUACUUUUCUGGACCUUGACAGUGUAAUUUACUUGGCAGUCAUUGGGACAGUCACAAGCCUCCUGGUUUUCAUCCAAAAUAUCUUAAAUUGUGUUCUGAAGAUGAAUGAAGAGUUUAUGGGUUUGGAAUGACAGGGGGGUAAGUGAUUAAUGUGGCUCAGUGGUAGAGUGUUGCGUUAGCAGCACAAAAGGUCAUGAGUUCAAUUCUCAGGGAACACACAUACUGGUAAAGAAAAAAAAAAAGAUAGCCUGAAUGCCUGAGUCGCUUUGGAUAAAAGCAUCUGCUAAAUGCAUAAAUGAAAUGAAAUGACAAAAUCUUCAUUUUGGGGUGGAGUAUGCCUUUAAAGUUAAAACAUUUUGGAUUUGUGGGCUUUCAAUGGAUGGACAAAAUAGAUAAGAGAAUAUUAAACGUAUUUUAUAUUAAUUUUUUUUAAUAAUUUAUUAAACUAUAUUGGUACCCUGUGGCAUUAUCAUUAUAGCUGUGCUGUGGACUUCACUAUUUUCCUAGAAUUAAGAUUAUUAAAACUUUGUAGUUAUCGUUCUUGGUGUGAACACACCUUAAGCCUAAGGUCUAGACUAGUCCUUUUAAGAGAGAAUUUACAAGGUUAUCUGAACCUUAUCAAUGUUAAAUGAACUGACCUAAUAAUCCAACAUUGUGUGUGUAAUUUUACAUGAAACGUUAUCAAAUUCCAGCUAUUGCAAUAUAAUCAAAAUCUUUUUAUUCCAAUUAUUGAAAUAUAAUACCAUGUUGAAAAGCUAUUAAGCUGAAUGUUUUUGUACAGUGAAAAUCAUGCAUUUCAAUCACCAAAAUAAGAUGAAGCCUUCAUUAGACAAAACACAUUAACUGAAAAUCUCAGUUCACAAUAGGAUUCUUAGAUGGUGAGAAGCACAUAAGACUCUUCACCUGCAGUAAUCUCUUUAAGACCAGACUAAACCCAAUUCUGGACUAGGUUAAUGACAUAACAGGACAAAUGAGCGUUAUUUAACAGCAUGUUUAAUAAAAAGAAAUUACUUGUUUUCUAAUGGUUAAGUAUUAUUUCAAACCUUAAUGUAAAAUGUAACUCGAUGGUAAUUUUCUCAAUUUUUAAAAAAUGUUUUAGGACUGUAAAAAGCAUCUGCAAGUCAGUUUUCCUAAAAACAAAAAAAAAAAACAACAACAACAACAGCAUUUAGUUUGAUUACGUUUAAUUUUCCUUUUAGUAAACAUUUUAAUCUAUAUAAACAAAGCAAUAUAAAAACCAGGGCUCAGAAAUAUAAUUAAUGUUAAUUAGAUGUAAAAUGAUCACGAUGGGGGUUGGGUGUAUAAGUUAGGAGCAUCUCAUAUCUACUUAUUAAAUAAAACAAAGACCAGAUUUUAGCCAUACAGAAGCAUGUGAAAGAAAAAUAUGCCAUCAUAAAUAACGUUGACUGAGCUAACUAAACUAAAAUGGAAAUUAUAAUCUUUGUGAACAUUUAUCCUGACCUGAAUCAAAUGGUUAUUGCACUAGAGAUGGGCUGCAAUCAUAUUUAUAUGGCCACUGUUGUUGCCGUAGAUCCCACACCAGCAUCUGUAGGUGAUGCAUCUCUGAAGGGCACGGUGAGGAGAACGCAGAACAUCGGGUGUGCGCUAGUAGUCUCUACUUUCAGGGCAAACCUUCAUAAACGUCACCUCACAACCGUAGGAGAGCUUCACCACAGAACUAAAAGACAGCGAGGAGGGGUCGUCAGCUCCAUUCAGUGAAUCAGAGACAAGGUUACGAGUGAUGAUGUGGAAGUGUGUCCAUGUGCACAUUCAUCUUCAUCUCAUUCUCCAGAAUUUGGACUAGUUGCUGCAUGGAAGGCAGAUGGCCUGACUCCAGCUUGGACCAAACUGGAACAUCUAACCAAAAAAUGCCCCGAAAUAGUGUUACUAUGGUGAUAAUACAACCACGCCAUCUUGCUAACUUCCGCCAGACUAAACCACCGAAUUAUGCUAAAGCCACACUGCUUCUCUUUAAAGAUGUCAACAAACAUCUGAGAGACAGAGAACAACUCUAAUUCUUCUGAUUUGAUAAACAAUUUCUUUCAUAGUACAUUUUCAAUGUGCUAUUCCAUAAAAAGAGCUUGAAUGCCGUGGGUCAAGAUAGCUUAUGUUUUUCUGAAAAGGGUCAUAAAAAGAUUUUCUAAACUUUAAAAUCAUUCAAUCAUCCCAUUUAAAAAACAAAAUACAAGUAUGUAUGGGUUUAGGCAAAUUAAUAUUCAAUUAUUAUACUACAAAUAAAAUAACUUAUUAAGAAAC